GAGGUGGGAGGAUUGCUUGAGCCGGGGAGGUGGAGGCUGCAGUGAACUGAGAUGACACCACUGCACUCCAGCCUGAGUGACAGAGUAAGAUCCUGUCUC
rnacentral:miRNA from 1 species